UACAGAGGUCUCAAGCGUUGUUCGGAUUCAUUGGGCGUAAAGGGUGCGUAGGCGGCGCGGUAAGUCGGGUGUGGAAUCUCGGGGCUUAACUCCGAAACUGCAUUCGAUACUGCCGUGCUUGAGGACUGGAGAGGAGACUGGAAUUUACGGUGUAGCGGUGAAAUGCGUAGAUAUCGUAAGGAAGACCAGUGGCGAAGGCGGGUCUCUGGACAGUUCCUGACACUGAGACACGAAGGCCAGGGGAGCAAACGGG
rnacentral:rRNA from 1 species